rnacentral:tRNA from 1 species
GAGUUUGUAGCUCAGGGGAUUAGAGCAUGCGUUUCCGGUGCGCAGUGUCGAGGGUUCGAAUCCCUCCAAACUCA